rnacentral:rRNA from 1 species
UACGAAGGGGGCUAGCGUUGCUCGGAAUCACUGGGCGUAAAGGGUGCGUAGGCGGGUUCUUAAGUCAGCGGUGAAAUCCUGGAGCUCAACUCCAGAACUGCCUUUGAUACUGAGAGUCUUGAGUAUGACAGAGGUGAGUGGAACUGCGAGUGUAGAGGUGAAAUUCGUAGAUAUUCGCAAGAACACCAGUGGCGAAGGCGGCUCACUGGGUCAUUACUGACGCUGAGGCACGAAAGCGUGGGGAGCAAACAGG